rnacentral:rRNA from 1 species
AGAGUUUGAUCCUGGCUCAGAUUGAACGCUGGCGGCAUGCCUUACMCWUGCAAGUCGAGCGGCAGCGCGGGGGCAACCCUGGCGGCGAGCGGCGAACGGGUGAGUAAUGCAUCGGAACGUGUCCUCUUGUGGGGGAUAACCAGUCGAAAGACUGGCUAAUACCGCAUGAGAUCGAGAGAUGAAAGCAGGGGACCGCAAGGCCUUGCGCGAGAGGAGCGGCCGAUGCCGGAUUAGCUAGUUGGUGGGGUAAAGGCCUACCAAGGCGACGAUCCGUAGCUGGUCUGAGAGGACGACCAGCCACACUGGGACUGAGACACGGCCCAGACUCCUACGGGAGGCAGCAGCGGGGAAUAUUGCGCAAUGGGCGAAAGCCUGACGCAGCGACGCCGCGUGCGGGACGAAGGCCUUCGGGUUGUAAACCGCUUUCAGCAGGGACGGAGCGGAAGUGACGGUACCUGCAGAAGAAGCCCCGGCCAACUACGUGCCAGCAGCCGCGGUAAUACGUAGGGGGCGAGCGUUGUCCGGAUUUAUUGGGCGUAAAGAGCUCGUAGGCGGCUGUUCGAGUCGGGUGUGAAACCCCAGGGCUUAACUCCGGGCCUGCAUUCGAUACUGGGCGGCUUGAGUCUGGUAGGGGGAUCUGGAAUUCCUGGUGUAGCGGUGGAAUGCGCAGAUAUCAGGAGGAACACCGGUGGCGAAGGCGGGAUCCUGGGCCAGUACUGACGCUGAGGAGCGAAAGCGUGGGGAGCAAACGGGAUUAGAUACCCCGGUAGUCCUAGCCCUAAACGAUGAAUGCUUGGUGUAGCGGGUAUCGAUCCCUGCUGUGCCGAAGCUAACGCAUUAAGCAUUCCGCCUGGGGAGUACGGUCGCAAGGUUAAACUCAAAGGAAUUGACGG